rnacentral:misc_RNA from 1 species
CCGUCGUCAAACUAUGAAUCGAUAUAUUGAACGAAGCUGCAGGGCUAUGGACAUUGCUUACGAGCUUUAUUCUUUAGCUAAUUAAUUACAAGUUUCAGCAGCAUUUAUUGUCGAUACAAUCUUGGACACCUUCGAGAACCUCACAAAUUUAUGAAUAACCUACACUUACACCACCUAACAAGCAGAAAAUUCCCACGAAAAGAAUAAUCAGAACAUGGCCAUGUCCAUGAUGGGCUGAUUCCCAUGGAAAUAACUGGUCCAUGGAUUCAUGAAAUAAUCGUCAUGUUCAUCUUUGAUAAUUAGGCCAUUGCUCAACUUCACAUGAUUAAUGAUCUCAUUGAGAGACUCUAAUCUGUGACUGAGCUCAUCUACCUGAGCUCCGAGUAUUGAAUUCUCAGCUUCAAUGUUCGAGAAGAUUUGAGAGGUGAUGAUGAUGCUGUUAAGAAUCUCAUGAUUUUCUUUCUUGAGCUGACCCAGUUGUGCCAUGAGAUCAUCCAAGCGCUUCUGCUUCCUCAUCCUGGAUCUACGUGCUGAUUCCUUAUUGGAUAUCAUUCUUUUACGUUUUCUUUGAUCCAUGAUCUGCUGCAGAUCCUGCUCAGAGUUUCAGUUCCUCUGGAUGCUGGACCCUGCAGAUGCCCCACUGGAAGAGGCCAUAAAUAUAUAGCAAUAAUAAUAAUACUAAGCAAGCCUGAAAAGAUGAUUGAAAUAGAAACUAGAGCCGCAGGACCCAGGAACUGAUUUGAAUUGAAGAUAAGUGUAGAUUAAGAAGGGGGCCGGCUGAGAGUUCAUGAAAAGACGUAGAACCAAUAGAGGAAGACAACAGAGAAAGAUUGAACAAGAUGGGUCCUGCGCCUGAGAGUGGAGUUUAUCAUAAAUCCAGAAAGGAGGAUUUCACAGAGUACAGGAGACAUAUGGUUCUCAAAGAUCAUCAAGAACAAGAUGAUCUUAAGCAUCAAAAUAUAAAUAUUUAGAGCAAGUUGAAGGAAGAUUUAAAGAGUUUCAAAGAGGAAGAAAUCUUGUUGAAUAAGGAAGAUGGGUUUUUCAUUGGAUUAGAACCUUGGGCUUACCCACAAGGAGAGAGGACGAAAGUGGAGGAGGAGGCUUAAAAUCCAACAAAAGAUGAGGAUAAGAAGGAAAAGAGGUUUCU